rnacentral:rRNA from 1 species
GGUUGAAGGUUGGGUAACACUAACUGGAGGACCGAACCGACUAAUGUUGAAAAAUUAGCGGAUGACUUGUGGCUGGGGGUGAAAGGCCAAUCAAACCGGGAGAUAGCUGGUUCUCCCCGAAAGCUAUUUAGGUAGCGCCUCGUGAAUUCAUCUCCGGGGGUAGAGCACUGUUUCGGCAAGGGGGUCAUCCCGACUUACCAACCCGAUGCAAACUGCGAAUACCGGAGAAUGUUAUCACGGGAGACACACGGCGGGUGCUAACGUCCGUCGUGAAGAGGGAAACAACCCAGACCGCCAGCUAAGGUCCCAAAGUCAUGGUUAAGUGGGAAACGAUGUGGGAAGGCCCAGACAGCCAGGAUGUUGGCUUAGAAGCAGCCAUCAUUUAAAGAAAGCGUAAUAGCUCACUGGUCGAGUCGGCCUGCGCGGAAGAUGUAACGGGGCUAAACCAUG